rnacentral:lncRNA from 1 species
GAUCAACCCAGUAUUACUGGUGGACUCUCUAAACUCCCUGAACUCCAUACAAUCCCUCUCCUACCUGUCGCCGCACUUCUCGUGGGAGCCAAUAAUUUAAUUGAAGUCGCUAGCCACCAGAGAAGGCACUCCCUACAUCAGAAGUCUAGAAAUCUCCGCCCAAAGUAUCCUCUAGUCCCUAUGCUCGGUGCUGGCAUAGACACUAGAGAUGAGCCAGGGCUGCCCAGACUGGUUCAUGAUGACAAAGACUACAUGCUAUUCACAUCUAUGAAAAGUAUCUAUCCGGGUCAAGCCUCGAUGCCACAUCACCAAGAUGCCUCCUGACAAUCCCC